rnacentral:misc_RNA from 1 species
AGAGCCUAGUUCAAUUGGAUUGAAUAAAUAAAGUUGAAGGAGGAAACAGAACUCUUAACCCAAAGUCACAAAGAGGAAAAAUAAAAUUUUGAAAUGAAAAUAGGUAGGUCUAUUUUGAAUGGGAAGAAAACAUAAUUCAGUAUACCCAAUUCAUAUAAUUCAAUAUAUUGAAACAUAAAAUUGAAAUCAAACCAAAACUGAACAGAAUCGCUUCAAGAAUAAGCCCACCAAAAAUAAAUAAUAAAAACCCUAAUUCAAG